GAUGAACGCUGGCGGCGUGCUUAACACAUGCAAGUCGAACGGAAAGGCUCCUGCUUGCAGGGGUACUCGAGUGGCGAACGGGUGAGUAACACGUGGGUGAUCUGCCCUGCACUUCGGGAUAAGCCUGGGAAACUGGGUCUAAUACCGGAUAGGACGAUGGUUUGGAUGCCAUUGUGGAAAGUUUUUCGGUGUGGGAUGAGCUCGCGGCCUAUCAGCUUGUUGGUGGGGUAAUGGCCUACCAAGGCGUCGACGGGUAGCCGGCCUGAGAGGGUGUACGGCCACAUUGGGACUGAGAGACGGCCCAGACUCCUACGGGAGGCAGCAGUGGGGAAUAUUGCACAAUGGGCGCAAGCCUGAUGCAGCGACGCCGCGUGGGGGAUGACGGCCUUCGGGUUGUAAACUCCUUUCGCUAGGGACGAAGCGUUUUGUGACGGUACCUGGAGAAGAAGCACCGGCUAACUACGUG
rnacentral:rRNA from 1 species